ensembl:lncRNA
AUGCAUUUGAGGAACUUUGUGCAACAAUGACCACUUCCAUUCAGGUGGAAUUUAUUGUCAUGAAUGUACUUCCUCUGAACAAGGUGAGAGGCAGAGCGUGAGAAAAGAGAUUCCAAACAAGAGAAUUCAUAUGUCAUUUGUCUUCCUCCAUUUGGCAUACUUCACUCAGCAUAAUGCCCUCAAAGUCAUUCACUUUGUUGCACCUGGCGCUUUCCAGAUUGCACAUGUGAGAACACUGAUGUUCGCAGAAGACAAGUAAUGGACCCUGAGUAACAGCCAAUCACUGCCAGGUCAAUCUUCUUGAAGGAAGUCCUAUGUUUACAUUUCAGAAUGAUGUGGAAAAGGAGGAAGGUUGAUUUUGAAGCCAGAUGGUUCUUGUUUCUGUCCUGGCUUCACUGUUGUCUUUGUGGCCUUGGAUACAACUUUCCAGAACCAUCUUAUAUUCCUACUUACUGAAGUUGUAUUAGAUGUAUGCUGUACUUUGAGACUGCAAACUU